AAACAGUCCCCUAUGUUUUGAUUCUUUAGCAGUUUUGGACCCCCAAGGCAAAAAAAAAAAAAUUUGACAAGUGGCACCUCACUUAGGGUGCCACGUCAGCGUUGACCGAGUCAACAAUGAAUUGGGGUCCAAAAUUGGCAAAAAAUCAGAACAUAGGGGGCUGUUU
rnacentral:pre_miRNA from 1 species